rnacentral:rRNA from 1 species
GAUGAACGCUGGCGGCGUGCUUAACACAUGCAAGUCGAACGGUGAAGGCGGAGCUUGCUCUGCUGGAUCAGUGGCGAACGGGUGAGUAACACGUGAGCAAUCUGCCCCUGACUCUGGGAUAAGCGCUGGAAACGGCGUCUAAUACUGGAUACGAGCUGCGAAGGCAUCUUCAGCAGCUGGAAAGAACUUCGGUCAGGGAUGAGCUCGCGGCCUAUCAGCUUGUUGGUGAGGUAACGGCUCACCAAGGCGUCGACGGUUAGCCGGCCUGAGAGGGUGACCGGCCACACUGGGACUGAGAAACGGCCCAGACUCCUACGGGAGGCAGCAGUGGGGAAUAUUGCACAAUGGGCGAAAGCCUGAUGCAGCAACGCCGCGUGAGGGACGACGGCCUUCGGGUUGUAAACCUCUUUUAGCAGGGAAGAAGCGAAAGUGACGGUACCUGCAGAAAAAGCGCCGGCUAACUACGUG